CCCGACUAUACUUCCUGCCUGGAAACUGGCCAAUCGGUGUUUUAUUCAUCAACCAAUAUGAGAAACAUAUAUACAGAAAGACAUACCCUUCAGUGGACCUUAUUGGGAAGAGCCUGUUGAAUUGGAGGAGGAAAUAGCUUCGAGUAGGGCUGUCACUAACAGUGGGGAUCUCAUUGUAGAGUUUACUUUUGAUUGUAUUGUGAAGCAGUGCCUUGGUAUGUAGCUCAUACUGGCCGUGAACCCACCUCUUCCUGAAUUUUUCACUUAUGUGCUGGAGUUACUCAUGUUUGAGGAAUCCAACAUGGUAUGAUGUUAGAUUUUUAUGGAGUGAUAAAGGGCAGAAGCAAGAACAGAAUACUCUGUAGUGAUUAGGUGUACUCAGCUGGGUUUCUUAUGGAGGGACCCUGUGAGUCAAGUCUCCUGGCAGAUCAAGCACAUGCUCGAAACAGUAGUGUAGGGUCCUUGACUUGAAUAUAUAGAAGAGGAUGAUGGAAACAUUCUGAGAAUUGUAUCCAGAGGGAGAGACAUGAGACAUGGGGAACUAUAAGGAGGAUACUGAUGCUGUAUGAGCAUGGGGAUCAGCAUCACAGGCCUGGAACUGUGUGAAGAUAUCAGCCUCCAGGAAGAAGAGAAAUGAACUUAAAAAAAAUCAAGAGUAAAAGAAAAUGGAUCACACAAUUCAGAAGAUCACUAAGCUAAAGUAACCUAAUCAAUACAAUGCCCUGUACAUAUGUCUGGUCUAAGAGCACAUGACUUUAGCCGAGGUCUGUCUGUGUUGAAGUCUGUGGCCCAUUUUGCCACUGAGAGCCAUGUGGUUGCCUGGGGUCAGGACAGCCACCUAAGUCCAUGUUGGUGGCUGAGAGACAUGCUGAAGCUGGGGCCAUGUAGAUCUUCGUGGCCUAUGCUGCUGCUCAAUCCCAUGAUGACUUCUGGGCCAGAGCUGCAGCUAAGGGCUAUGUCUAGGUUUGCAGUCAGGGUACCCAAGGUUGGUGCCCAAGGUUCCUGUUACCAUUGAAGGCCAUGUGGAUGCCAGAGAAUCGGGAACCAUGUUAGCAUUCAAGAGCCAUCCUGCUUCUGGGGCCAUGCUGAUCUGUAUGGCCUACACUGCCACCUGGGACAAUGGUGACAUCCAGAUUCAGCUGCUACUGAAGGACAAGUCUGGGUCAUGUGGUCCCACUACAGCCAGUGUCUAUGUAGCCAACAAAGGAUACAUGGAAGGCCAGGGUCAGAGCUGCAACCUGUGGCCUUGUUGGUUUCCAGAGGCCAUGAUUACCACCAGAGCCAACCUCAUCUGAGUGGCCUAUGCUUCCACCUAGAGCCAGGGUGUUGCCUGGGUCCAAGCUGCUGCCCAAUGCCAUGUCUAGGUACUUGGUCCUGCUGCAUUUAGGGGCCUGUUUUGAUGUCUCUGGACUGUGCUGCCUCAGGGGACCAUGGGAACCAGAGGGCCAUGGUGAGCUGGCCCUGUACUUCUGGCCCUGGGAUAGUUGACCCUGCCCCUCACUGGAUGCUACAGCAAGAGAGCUGGCACCAACUGUCAUGGGAGUGCUUCUCCCCUGACUCUCAAACUAGGGAGAAAUGGCCCCACACCUCACCACAGGUGAAGGAGAGCUGGCCAUGAUGGCAUGGGCAUAGGAGUGUUGGGUCCACCCCUGUGACCCUAGUGGCCUGGACUAACCAGUUCAACUCCAGGCCCACAGUGGAGCCUGGAGUUGGCACACCUUAACAUUUACCCCAUCUGGGACCUACUGGAGCUUGUGAAGGGACUGGUCCUGUGGAAUGAUAUCCGAAGGCUCAUCAUGACUCUGGAGGGGAGUUUCCAUGAGGAUCCAGUGAUGAUGGUGUACCAGAAACCAGAGGACUUGAACCAAACCAAUGAACAUUUGCAAAUAAAGCUGAUUAAACAAAAGGACAUACUAUGUGACAUACUGAAGCUCCCAAUGCCACCAGGACAAAUGAAGAAGUGUUCGAAAGACAGGGAAAAUGGAGGAACAAAGAGGGUUUUUGUUUGUUUGUUUUUGUUUUUGUUCUUCCCCUUUUAGUUUUUGUCUGUUUGCUUGUUUUAGUUUCAUUUGAUUUUUUAAAAAAAUUUUAUUGGGGGACACUGCAGGGGGAAGGGGAGAAUAUAGAGGAACUGGGAGGUAAUCAGAAUCGGGAUGCAUGAUGUGAAAAUCCCAAAGAUUCAAUACAGAAAUUAUAUUUAGUUACAAAAGUUAAACAAAGAGAAAAAAAA
rnacentral:lncRNA from 1 species